UAAAAAUAUGUUCUUGAAUUUUUGCUUUGGAUGCUCCAUCUUGAUCAUUUAGAAGCUUCUGUUAAAUUUUCGUAAGAUUCCUUGAAAGUCGGACAAAGGUAUAUCAUUUGUAUGUACAAACGUUAACGCAGACUAAACCUAAAUGUUAACGACGCCGACGGAAUCUAGGAUCGCUAUGUCUCGCCUUCUCGACUUCGGUUGCAAGCGAGACAAUAAAAGUUUAUUUUAUUACAGAUGGCGUUGUCACAAUGUCAUACAUUUUGAUGCUCGUUUUUAACAUUUACAUUAUUUGUGUUCGACAAUUACACCGGGUGUCCAGAUCCAAAAUCCGCGGAGGGACCAGAAUCCCGAGGAGUAAUUGCACUAGAAUGCAUUCGGUGGAUUAGUAAAAUCUGGAUCGGACUCCCACGUAGCAUCACCCUCUGUGCGAAUCGGAUCCAUAUUUGACUUACCCACCGUUUGCGGCCUCGAAUAAUUGCAUCUCGGGAUUUGAAUCCCUCCACGGAUUUCAGAUCGGGAUACCCGGUGUGACAAUUGUAUCAAGCAAACUACUGUAACACAUCAGUUUAGAAUGUCUUUAUUUUGAAGCAAACAAUGAAUGUUCAAACGUAAUUUAAACAAUUAUAAAUGGGGAAUUUGUCCAUAGGACACAAAUGAUGCCCCGCUUGCAUCAUAUAAAGUUAUAAAGAGACACAACUGAAGAACGGUAAAGGUGACACUACCCAAAUUUGUACUUGAUCUGAGUUUUGUAGGAAUAAGUGUUGUGUAUACUUGUUUUUAUGUGAAUAUAACGAUUUAUCUCUUACUAGUCAUGUUUUAAAUUAAACAAAUGAAAGAAAAACAUAUUUACAAAAAUGAUAACCCGUAAAAAAUCAAUUAUUAUUUGAAGUCAUCACGAUUAUUGCGCAUAAAUGUUAAUUU
rnacentral:lncRNA from 1 species